rnacentral:lncRNA from 1 species
AUGAGCCUGUGUGGGCAUUCCUUAUUCAAAUUAUAUCAGAAAGGUGAGACAAUGAUGCCACAGGUAACUAAUAUGUAUAGUUUAGGAGAUCUUAAUGAUGCGUUUCUUUAUAAACUUCAGACUGAAAGCAAGUUAAAAGGAGACCAUGUUGCUGGAUACUUUUGUCUUUAUGUAAAGCACAAAGCUGAUGUAUGUUACACAGAGAUGCACAGGAACAUGCACAAACAUCAUAAGGAAAUGGGAACGAGAUACCUGUUAUCCUCUGUGGAGACACAGUGGUGCAUCAUUUUGAGUGGCUACUAUGAAACAUAUUCCAAAGAAGAGAUGUGGAGAACUCCCAAAGCCAGCAACACAAACUGUCAGUUAUUCAGUCAUUGUAAUGCCUGAUUUGUUCUGGAUCUAUACAGCCAUUGUUUCACAGUUGUAUAUGCUGAUUUCAUGGGACAUCAAGAGCCCUGGUUAGCUUACUUAUCAAGAUAAUUGAUGAACACUUAGAAGAGGGGUUAUUGAUGACUAUGUUCUUUGAACACUAAUUUAGUGUCCCCUGAUCAACAUCUAUGGCAAUGUUUGUUGUCAAAACGACGGUUACAAUAAGAACUAUAAGACAAGAGAAGCAAAUGUUGUGAGGGAGAAGUUUGUGGGAUUGGUCAAGGCCUCAUGAUAUGUUUCUUCCUUGGGUCUUCUCCAGAGGCUCCACAUCUGUAUCCCAUCUGCUUUUAAACCUACUUGUUUGGCUUCCUGUUCCUACUGAGCAACAGAAAAAAGACCUCAGCCCCCAGACUUCUUUACACCCAAUAAUGUUCACAUUAUGUGAACUAUGAAAUAUAUGUGUGCUAAAAUCCUGAAAUAAUUUUUAUUUGCAUUCUGGCUUUGAAGACACAAAGGAGUAGAGAUUUGGAAUGCUGGAAACAGGAACAAACAGGAGGGAGUGGGGAAGGAGGAGGAUAAAGCAUGCUGCCACUUCUUUUGAUUGUGUGAAGGAUACAAAGGGAGAUAAUUGCUCAUUGGACUAGAAGCUUGGGACAAGCCAAACGUCCCUUACAUCUAUGCACAGAGGAGACUUCCUCUAAUAUUUUUCUAUGUACUCCUUAAGGAUAAAAAUGCCUACUGAUACUAUUCAAGUAGCAAAGAUUAGCUAUGUUAUAAGCAGCACAGCAGGAAGAGCAUUGAAUCUGGUAGGCAUAAAGCAACAGACUUCAAAAGAAUUAUUUGAAAGAAUUACUAGUAAUAUACCACAAGCACUUCAAAUAGUUUUGUAAGACUAAAUUUAUGAUUUAUUCAGGGAUCAAGUUCCUAGGGACUGAAAUAAAGCAUUUAUACAUCUCACUGUUUGUUAGGGCUUAAACUUUUUGUGUAAGUGAUAUAAAUUUCUAGUAAUUGUGGAAGGAAAAGUUUUCUCUUCGUUAUUUGAAAUACAAAAAUCCUGGGGUAGUAAGAAGUCUCAGAUCAUGGGACUUUAUGCCUUGCUGAUGGCCUAUGCAUGAUUCCCAGGAACCACAGUGUAGAAAGAGAGAAAUGGUGCCAGCAAGUGGUCCCUGACCUAAACACAUGUGCAGGAGUGUUCACAUGUCUACAGACAAAUACGUAAUAGACCAACAAACAAAUAUGUAUGUGGAAGAUAUAAAUGGCAUGGUUACUUGAACUCAAAACUUUUCAAAUAAAGGAAACAAAGUUCUUUCUCACUGUGUUUGAAAAGAAAAAAAUACUUAUCAAAUUGAUGACUCAGCUCAAAUUUAAGUAGAACAUUACCCAAUAUCAACCAUCAAAAAAUUUACUACAUUUCUAGGAGGAGUGAAUCCUUUCCACUAGCCUCCACACUGCUGUUAUCAUCACAGUAUUUCAACUGUCUUCUCAAUAGAAGAAUCUUACUAGCCACUUGACAAACAUGUGGAAUCUGAAUAUUUUAUUUCCUUCACAGUGAUUUCCAUAUAGCAUCUCAUUCUCACAUGGGAAAAUACUUACUAAAAUAACGUUACUACUUACCAUGAAAUUCACUGAAAACAAUAGUGAACACAGUAUCUUCCUUCCGUACACUCAUUUAAUGUAUUGUGCUUUAUGUUUUAUUUACUUUCCUGCGUGUCUUUCAUUCUUCCCUUAAUUUUCUUUUGGC